GACCUCAAAUCAGGUAGGACUACCCGCUGAACUUAAGCAUAUCAAUAAGCGGAGGAAAAGAAACUAACAAGGAUUCCCCUAGUAACUGCGAGUGAAGCGGGAAAAGCUCAAAUUUAAAAUCUGGCGGCUUUGUCGUCCGAGUUGUAAUUUAGAGAAGUGUUACCCGUGUUGGACCGUGUACAAGUUCCCUGGAAUGGGGCGUCAUAGAGGGUGAGAAUCCCGUCUCUGACACGGACUCCCAAUGCAUUGUGGUGCGCUCUCGAAGAGUCGAGUUGUUUGGGAAUGCAGCUCAAAAUGGGUGGUAAAUUCCAUCUAAAGCUAAAUAUUGGGGAGAGACCGAUAGCGAACAAGUACCGUGAGGGAAAGAUGAAAAGAACUUUGGAAAGAGAGUUAAACAGUACGUGAAAUUGCUGAAAGGGAAACGCUUGAAGUCAG
rnacentral:rRNA from 1 species